CUACGGGAUGCACCAGUUAGGAAUAAUCUACAAUGCGCGCAAGCGUGAUAGUUUGAGCCAGAGUGUUUUUCAAUGAAAGACUUUUGCCAAGUGUAAAAAGCCUGGCGAAUAAGGACUGGGUAAGACGAGUGCCAGCCGCCGCGGUAAUACUCGCGGUCCAAGUCGCAGCCAUAUUUAUUGGGUCUAAAACAUCCGUAGCUUGCUUGGUAAGUUUCUUGUGAAAUUUUAUACCUCAAAUAUGAAGCGUGCAAGAAGUACUGUCAAGCUAGAGACUGGAAGACGUAAAGAGUACGUUUGGAGUAGCGGUAAAAUGUGUUAAUCCCAGACGGACUAACAAGAGCGAAGGCACUUUACGAGGACAGUUCUGACAGUAAAGGACGAAGGCUAGGGGCGCAAAACGGAUUAGAUACCCUGGUAGUC
rnacentral:rRNA from 1 species